UACGUAGGGUGCGAGCGUUGUCCGGAAUUAUUGGGCGUAAAGAGCUUGUAGGCGGUCUGUCGCGUCUGCUGUGAAAGUCCAGGGCUCAACCCUGGGAUGCCGGUGGAUACUGUCGGGCUCGAGUCCGGAAGAGGCGAGUGGAAUUCCAGGUGUAGCGGUGAAAUGCGUAGAUAUUGGGAGGAACACCGGUGGCGAAGGCGGCUACCUGGACCGGUUCUGACGCUGAUGCGCGAAAGCGUGGGGA
rnacentral:rRNA from 1 species